AUAUAUGUCUACAGCUUCUCAGAUUUGACCAAAGACAGUUGUUCGGUGUUGUGAAUGGGUGUUGUUCGGCCGAAGGCCUUCCAGUCACACAGAAGAUCCUGGUUCGGUCACACAAAGGGUCACUUCCAUUGGUAUUAGUCACUGGAAAAAUUAGGAGCACCAGUUGUAGUUUCUCAGGGCCUGUUUUGCCUGUUUGCGGCCAUCUAGAGAGUAGUCUUCAUACGCAU
rnacentral:lncRNA from 1 species